UACGUAGGGUGCGAGCGUUAAUCGGAAUUACUGGGCGUAAAGCGUGCGCAGGCGGUUCGUUGUGUCGGUGGUGAAAGCCCCGGGGCUCAACCUGGGAAUGGCCAUGGAAACUGGCGAACUGGAGUGUGGCAGAGGGGGGUGGAAUUCCGCGUGUAGCAGUGAAAUGCGUAGAGAUGCGGAGGAACACCGAUGGCGAAGGCAGCCCCCCUGGGCUAGCACUGACGCUCAGGCACGAAAGCGUGGGGAGCAAACAGG
rnacentral:rRNA from 1 species